AAGGUGAUCCUCCGUUUGAUACAUGGUCAGAAGGUCCUAACACUACAUCACAACGCCUGUAUCCUUCACCUCACUACCUCUCACGUUAUCAUCUCCCAUCAUCACAAGGAGGAGAAGCUGCCCAAGACUGGAGGAACAUAACAUGGGAAGAAAAUGAGUGCAGUAAGAGAAGCUUAAGGGAAAACAAAAAUAAAACAAGGGAAAUAAAGGACUCCAGGACCUCUUAUUGUCUUCUCUUUUGGAACCAGAAGCCACCCUGUAUGGGGCACCUGAAUCUUGCCACUGACCUUCCUGUACCAGGCUCAAUCUUUCUCUCCGACCCUCUCAUCAUUUAAGGUAAAUGGAUGGAUGCACCGUAGCUGUUGUGGCUAUGUUGUGUUUUUCAUCCUCGAUUCCACAUUCGUGUCACUGUCAGGUUUCUUGACACAUGAGAGAAAGGAAUCUUCCACAACUCCUGGCUAAACAGAGGACCACUCUCUGCAUGAGUGUAGAGGAGGAUUAGACUGGGGAUGUGGCAGCCUCUUUACUUAGUGUAGUAAUGCUCUAAAUGAAAAUUUGAGUUUCCUGAAAUCACCAUUUUUUUUUUUUUUUUUUUUUUUUUGGUGGGGGGAGGAGGUCUAUACUUUUGCCAUUUGUUUUUAAGGUCGAUUAAUACUCUUUCUCACUUCCAGGCCUCUUUAACUGUUUUUCCUCCGCUUAGAAUGCACCCCCCCCAAGUUUUCAUAUAGCUAGUUCUUUUCUUAUCCUUCCCAGCUGCACCAGGGAAACAUUUGCUGGUACAUCCCUUUGGGAUACUAUAGCCGGACCCCAUCAGCAUCUAUUUCAACCUUCUACUGGUGAGCCUUCAUUUUUUUGAAGAGUUUAGAAAACUCAAAAAUAUACUUCUCUGCUCCCUUUGCGGCCAGCGUUCUAGCUUAGUUUUGGUUUCUUCAGUGAACUACAGGCAUACUUUGUUUUACUGCAUUUUGCAGACAUUGUGUUUGUCUGUUUUUUUAAACAGUUGAAGAUUAAUGGCAACCCUGCAUCGAGAAAUCUGUCAGCACCAUUUUUUCCUACAGCAUCUGCUCUCUUCAUGUCUCUGUGUCACAUUUUGGCCUCCCUAUUCCCCGAGACACAACAAUAUUGACAUGAGGUCAAUUAAUAACCCUGCAGUGCCGUCUAAGUGUUCAAGUGAAAGGAUGAGCUGCACAUCUCUCACUUGAAUAGAAAGGUAGAAAUGAUUAAGCUUAGUGAGCAAGGUAUGUCAAAAGCCACGGUAGGCCAAAAGCUAGGCCUCAUGCUCUAGUUAGCCAAGUUGAGAAUGAAAAGGAAAAGUUCUUGAAGGAAAGUAAAAGUGCUACUCCUGCGAAGGCACAAAUGAUAAGAAAGUGAAAUAGCCUUCUUGUUGAUAUGGAGAAAGCGUUAGCGGUCUGGAUGGAAGAUCAAACCAGCCACAACAUUACCUUAAAUCAAAGCCUAAUCCCAGAGCAAGACCUUAACUCUCUUCAGAUCUGUGAAGGCUGAGAGAGGUGAAGAAGCUGCAGAAGAAAAGUCUGAAGCUGGCAGAGGUUGGCUCAUGAGGUUUAAAGAAAGAAAAUUCUUCAUAACAUCAAGUGCAAGGUGAAGCAGCAAGUGCUGAUGUGGAAGCUGCAGGAAGUUCUCCAGAAGAUCUAGUGAAGAUAAUUAAUGAAGGUGGCUACACUAAACAACAGGUUUCCAAUAGAGAGGAAGCACCUUCUAUUGGAAGAAGAUGCCAUCUAGGACUUUCACAGCUAGAGACAAGUUAUUUGCAAAUAUCUUCUUCCAUUCAGUAGGCUGCCUUUUUGUUUUG